AUUGAACGCUGGCGGCAGGCCUAACACAUGCAAGUCGAGCGGUUGAAGGGAGCUUGCUCCUGGAUUCAGCGGCGGACGGGUGAGUAAUGCCUAGGAAUCUGCCUGGUAGUGGGGGAUAACGUCCGGAAACGGGCGCUAAUACCGCAUACGUCCUGAGGGAGAAAGUGGGGGAUCUUCGGACCUCACGCUCUCAGAUGAGCCUAGGUCGGAUUAGCUAGUUGGUGGGGUAAAGGCCUACCAAGGCGACGAUCCGUAACUGGUCUGAGAGGAUGAUCAGUCACACUGGAACUGAAACACGGUCCAGACUCCUACGGGAGGCAGCAGUGGGGAAUAUUGGACAAUGGGCGAAAGCCUGAUCCAGCCAUGCCGCGUGUGUGAAGAAGGUCUUCGGAUUGUAAAGCACUUUAAGUUGGGAGGAAGGGCAGUAAGUUAAUACCUUGCUGUUUUGACGUUACCAACAGAAUAAGCACCGGCUAACUUCGUG
rnacentral:rRNA from 1 species